AUUGAACGCUGGCGGCAUGCCUUACACAUGCAAGUCGAACGGCAGCACGGGAGCAAUCCUGGUGGCGAGUGGCGAACGGGGGAGUAAUAUAUCGGAACGUGCCCAGUCGUGGGGGAUAACGCAGCGCAAGCUGUGCUAAUACCGCAUACGAUCUACGGAUGAAAGCGGGGGAUCGCAAGACCUCGCGCGAUUGGAGCGGCCGCUAUCAGAUUAGCUAGUUGGUGGGGUAAAGGCCCACCAAGGCGACGACCUGUAGCUGGUCUGAGAGGACGACCAGCCACACUGGAACUGAGACACGGUCCAGACUCCGACGGGAGGCAGCAGUGGGGAAUUUUGGACAAUGGGCGCAAGCCUGAUCCAGCAAUGCCGCGUGCAGGAUGAAGGCCUUCGGGUUGUAAACUGCUUUUGUACGGAACGAAACGGUCCUUUCUAAUACAGGGGGCUAAUGACGGUACCGUAAGAAUAAGCACCGGCUAACUACGUGCCAGCCGCCGCGGUAA
rnacentral:rRNA from 1 species